CCGCCGUGCUGGGCGGACGUCACCGCCUGCACUGUAACCCAAGAAGUGAAAGAGCGCAGGGGACCCGCACCGCGCAACUUCGCACCGUAACAAAGGCGGGGGUCCGUGCGGGGCCGGGGGGGCAGGGCGGUGGGGGACCGCGGGGAGGGGAGAGGGGCCCGGGGGGGGGCGGCCUGGGCGAAGAGAAGGUGGGGGGGCGACGGGGGAGGGAGGGGGAGGGGGCCGGAGGAGGGGAAGUGGGGGGGCGGAGCGGACCCGGGGGGUGGGGGGAGCAGCCCGCGGAGCGCAGGGUCCGGACCAGGGUGGGGGAGGGCCCGGGCCGGGUCUGCGCGGGGUCUGCGAGCGCGGACGGCCCUGGCGUGGACCCCCGAGUCCCCCGGCUGAAGCGCAGCGGUGGGCCAGAAAAGGCCAACAUGUGUCCAUCUUUGCCAUAUGGAACUAGUUAACCUAUAUUGCAUGAGCUGGCUGGGAGCUGCAGUUAGGCACUGAUUUAUUUCAGCAUCUGAGAAUGUUCUUUGAAAUCUGGUACAGUUAAACGGUGCUUUGAAAGCUGCGCAGAGGAGCAGUUUGGGCUUUCGCAGUUUGUCAUUCAGUUGCCAUAAAGGGUAGUUAGCAAGGUUCACUUUUUUCCCUGAGCUAGU
rnacentral:lncRNA from 1 species